rnacentral:lncRNA from 1 species
ACUACUAAGUUUUUGGGUAACCCAUCAAUUUUGCCUCUAAGACACUUGACUUACCCGAGUCCUGGUCCUAUUGGUGUCCAAGUGGACAUGACAGCGGUGGGGAGGGUGGGCACCGCUGAGAUAUUGAGUGUUGCGAUCGGAAUCAAGUCCCCUCCAUUCUGAACAUGAGGUAGCGACAGCGACCGAAGAAUACAAAGAUCCAAGCAGCUCCAACAAACUGAAGUCCUGCCAACUGGGAAUGGAAGGGCACCUAUAAGGCUGUGGGUCAUCAGGCAAACUGUACAUAUGUUUUUAUUCCUUGUGGCAGGCAGCAGUGUGACAAAAAAAGUUCUCUGUCAUGGAGAGUCAAUAUGUUAGUACAUUGUUGAGAAUUUUUACAUCUAUAUGCAUGAGGGAUAUUGGUCUCUGUAUUUUUACACGGUAUGUCCUUGUCAAGUUUGGUUUCAGGGUUAUACUAGUCUCAUAAAAUGACUGACACAAUUAUUUAGUCCACCUCUCUUUUAUGCAAGUGGUUGUGUAAGAUAUUUAUUAUUUCUUCUUUAUGUAUUUGAUAGAAUUUACCACAGAAGCCACUGGUGACUAACAUUUUCUUUGGGGAGAAAUUUUGAAUUGCAAAUUAAAUUUCUCAGGUGGAUAUGCUGUAAUUCCAGUUUUCUUUUUUCUUGUCAGUUGAUAACUUGUGUUUUUUAAAUAAUUUGUCCAUUUAAUCUAAGAUGUUAGUACACUGACAUGAAGUUACUGCUAUCCCUUUAUUAUAUUUUCAAUAUAUUUAGGAUCUGUUGUGGUGCCCCUCUUUCCUUCUAGAUAUUGGCGAAUAUGUUUACUCUCCUUUUGUCUUUACAGUAUCGCUAUAUCAAUUUUAUUAAAUUUUUAAACAACCCUUGUCUUUUUUUCCUAUUUCUCUUUUCUAUUUCAUUGAUUUCCAUUCAUGUUUUUAUUUCUUUUUUAAAUACCUACUUUGGGUUUAGUUUUCUAUUCUUGUUUUUCUCAAAGUUGAGGUCAUGGAUUCUAUCCUUUCUUUUCUAAUACAAAUUAAAUAUAUAAAGUAUAAGUUAAAGCUAUAAAUUUCUUUCUAUAUAUUACUUAAGCUGCACUUCAUUUUUGUACAUUGUGAUUUCAUUACCAUUAAGUUUGAAUGUAUCUAUACUGUCCCUGUUGAUUUCUCUUUGAUCCAUUCCUUAACUAGAAGUAUUACUUAAUUUCCAAAUAUCCAGGGAUAUAAUUUUUGAUAUCCAAAAUAAUUCUGUUUUGGUCUGAGAAUGUACUGUAUACAACUUCAGUCCUUUGAAAUUCAUUGAAUUUUGUUGUUUUGUUGUUAUCCAACAUACAGGUUAUCUUGAUGAGCUUCUUGUGUGUACUUUGAAUGAAUGCAUUCUACAGUUGUCAUAUAUAGUGUUCUAUAAAUAGCAAUUAAACCAAAUUGCUUUGAUAAUUUUGUUAAAAUAUUCUGUAUUCUUGCCACAUUUUUCUACAUGUUUUAUCAAUUACUGAGAGAAAAGGGUCAAAUUCUUCAACUAUGAUUGUGAACUUGUCUAUUUCUCCAUUCAAUUCUAGCAUUUUUUUAAACCUCAUGUAUUUUGAAGCUCCAUUAUUAGAUGAUAGGAUUUUUUAUCUUCUCCAUGAAUUGAGGAGAAUCAUAUGAAACAGCCCUUUCAGUUUCUAGUAAUACUUUAAAUCUGCUAUUAAUAGAGUCACCCUAUAUUCUUAUGCUUAGGGUUUGUAUAUCUUUUUUCAUAAUGUUGUUAAGUGUGUCUUUGGUAAACUACGUAGAGUUGGAUCUUGCUUUUUUACCCAGUCUUAUAAUUUCUGAUUUUAAUGGAGUGCAUUCUAUUUAUAUUUAAUGUAAUUACAUAAUUGUAUCUAUUGCAUUUUUUAUUCAUACUCUUGUUUUCAUUCAUUUGUUUCCCAUUUUCUAUUUUCUUUGGCUUAAUUCUGUAUUUUUUGAUAUUUCAUUUUAUAUCCUAAAUUGACUUUUUACCUAUAACAGUUUUGGGGUAUUUCCACUAAGGAUAAGAAUACAUAGCCAUUACUUAUCACAGUCUACCUUAAAUUAGUAUUAUAUUACUUCAUCUAUAAUGUGGAAAACUUCCUAUUAUGUAAUCAUCAUCCUUUUUGCCAUGGCAUGGAUCAGUACAAGACACUGAUAAGAUAUUUAAGAAUUCAUGUGAUGGAGAACCUUCACGAAUAUAAUCACUUGAUCUUAGUCAAAACGCUAAGAAGCAAGCUAUGAAUAUAAUCAAAUUGGAAAAUAUGUCAAAAAGAUGUUAAUAUCUACUGUGUAGAUGCUGUUUCAUACUGGAGAGAAACAUAAUGAAGGUAAUCAAUAUGGAAAAAGCCUUCAUCCUGAUUCCAAAUUUAAAUGUGCACAAGAGAACUCAUACUGAAGAGAAGUCUUAUGAAUUCAGUGGAUGUUAGAAAGCCUUCACUGAUCACUCACUUACUAAGACUCACAUGGGAUCGAAACUGACAGUACCAACAGCCUGAACCAAGCCAGAACACAGAUUGGGACUUGAACCCAUGGUUUCAAAUUAGAAUCACUCACCCAGGACUCACUGAGGUUUAGGUUCUCCAUACCUCUGUGCAGCAGGAAGUCAGUGAGAGACAAAGUGAUAGGCAAAAAAUAAAUUUAUUUGGAUAGGACGCUUGUGAAAGAUGCAAGCAGGCAGGCAUGUAAACUCUGCCCUGAGGAUCUGAUGGGCUACAGUUUUAUCAUCCAGGGGAGUGGGGGUCGGAAAAGACCACCUCUUCCUUUCUGGGAGUAGUAACUCCUCCUUGGUUUCCAGUAAGGUGUGUAUUCAGGUCUGCAGAAGGGUGGUCCUCAAACUCUUGCCCUUAGUCUGAACCUGAAUGCAGGCCUAAUCCCAUCCCCCACCCAAUGACCUGAGGCAAUUCUCCCCUCCACUAGUCGAGCAAGCCUGCCUUGUGCUGAUGGCUUUCUUGAGCAAUUGAAAAGCUUACAGUGACCUCCCAGUGUCCCCUAAGUUUCCCUCUUUAACUCUGGUCCUUUACUGGGACUUCUACAACUACCUGUGCCUACUCCAUCCCUAUCAGGAUCACACACUGGACACAAACACUAUCAAUGUAAGGAACAUAAGGAAUUCUUCAGCUAUCCUUUGUAUCUUAAUAUGUGAACAUUCACAGUGGAGAAUACUAUGAAUAUACAAAAUGUCAGAAAGCUUAUUCAUUCUUCAUGGACCACUGUUCAUGGAAGAACUCACAGUGGAGCUAAGCCUUAUAUUCAUAUCAUGUGAAAAAUGUUACAAAGCCUUCUAUUUUCUUUCAUCUCUUAGGAAAUGUGAGAACUCUCACUGGAGAAAAACUCUAUGAGUAUGAAAAGUGUGGAAAAAUCAUCAAUUGUCCCUCAUCCUUUAGGGCAUAUAUGAGAACUCAUAUUGAAAAUAUAUCCAGUGAAUGUAGAAGAAUGUGAGAAAGUCCCUCUCUCUGUCCCUUCCCCCACCCCUUGCCGUAGCAUGCAGCUGCAGACCAGGGAUUGAACACAGGUUACAGCAAUGAAAGCACUGAGUCCUAACCACUAGACCACCAGGCGACACCUAAGAAAAUCUUCAUUUCUUUUAUAUCCCUUACAGUACAUUGGAGAGAAGCAUUAUGAGUAUAAGAACUAUGGGAAAACCUUCACUUACUCUUCUAAGUUUACAAGUGAGAAAACAUACCAGAAAGGAUCUGUAUACAUGAAGGAAUAUAUAGUUUCCCAUCCUCUUUUAAUAACCACGAGUACAAACACAGAGGCCCUAUAUUUGUAAACAAUGUGACAAGUCCUUCUUUUAUUCUUUUCAUUUUAUAGUACAUAUGAUAAUGGACACUGGAGAAAAACACUGUGAAUAUAUGAAAUGCAGGAAUGCCUUCAGCUGUUGUUCAUCACUUAGGAAACAUAAAGAGAACUCACAUUGAAGAGAAAUCCUGUUAAUCAGAGUGUGGGGAAGUCUUGAUUUGUAUCUAAUUCUUUCAAAGCCAUGUGAAAAUUCACAUUAUAGAGAAACCAUGUUAGUGUAAUAAAUGUGAGAAAGUAUGGAGUUCCCAUCGUGGCUCAGCAGUUAAUGGUUAAUGAAUGAGGCUAGCAUCCAUGAGGAGGCAGGUUUGAUCCCUGGCCUCACUCAGUGGGUUAAGGAUCUGGUGUUUCCAUGAGCUGUGGUGUAGGUCGAAGCCACUGCUCAGAUCCCAUGUUGCUAUGGCUGUGGCAUAGGCCAGUGGCUACAGCUCCGGUUCAGCCUCUAGCCUAGGAACCUCCAUA